rnacentral:rRNA from 1 species
AACGAACGCUGGCGGCAUGCCUAACACAUGCAAGUCGAACGAGACCUUCGGGUCUAGUGGCGCACGGGUGCGUAACGCGUGGGAACCUGCCCUUAGGUUCGGAAUCACUCCCCGAAAGGGGUGCUAAUACCGGAUAAUGUCUUCGGACCAAAGAUUUAUCGCUUUUGGAUGGGCCCGCGUUGGAUUAGCUAGUUGGUAGGGUAAAAGCCUACCAAGGCGACGAUCCAUAGCUGGUCUGAGAGGAUGAUCAGCCACACUGGCACUGAGACACGGCCCAGACUCCUACGGGAGGCAGCAGUGGGGAAUAUUGGACAAGGGGCGAAAGCCUGAUACAGCAAUGCCGCGGGAGUGAUGAAGGCCUUAGGGUUGUAAAGCUCUUUUACCCGGGAUGAGAAUGACAGUACCGGGAGAAUAAGCUCCGGCUAACUCCGUG